rnacentral:tRNA from 1 species
GGAGAGCUGGCUGAGCGGCCGAAAGCGGCGGUCUUGAAAACCGUUGAGGGGCAACCCUCCGGGGGUUCGAAUCCCUCGCUCUCCGCCA